rnacentral:tRNA from 1 species
AAGAUAUUAGUUAAACUAUAACUUUGCCUUGUCAAGGCAAAAUUAUGGGUUAAACCCCCAUAUAUCUUA